GUAGCAAUACACCGCUGGCGACCGCGCACGGGUGAGUAACACGUAUCAACCUGCCCUUUACUCGGGGAUAGCCUUUCGAAAGAAAGAUUAAUACCCGAUGGUAUAACAUGACCUCCUGGUUUUGUUAUUAAAGAAUUUCGGUAGAGGAUGGGGAUGCGUUCCAUUAGGCAGUUGGCGGGGUAACGGCCCACCAAACCUUCGAUGGAUAGGGGUUCUGAGAGGAAGGUCCCCCACAUUGGAACUGAGACACGGUCCAAACUCCUACGGGAGGCAGCAGUGAGGAAUAUUGGUCAAUGGGCGAGAGCCUGAACCAGCCAAGUAGCGUGAAGGAUGACCGCCCUAUGGGUUGUAAACUUCUUUUAUAUGGGAAUAAAGUUUGCCACGUGUGGCAUUUUGUAUGUACCAUAUGAAUAAGGAUCGGCUAACUCCGUGCCAGCAGCCGCGGUAAUACGGAGGAUCCGAGCGUUAUCCGGAUUUAUUGGGUUUAAAGGGAGCGUAGGUGGACAUGUAAGUCAGUUGUGAAAGUUUGCGGCUCAACCGUAAAAUUGCAGUUGAUACUGCGUGUCUUGAGUACAGUAGAGGUGGGCGGAAUUCGUGGUGUAGCGGUGAAAUGCUUAGAUAUCACGAAGACUCCGAUUGCGAAGGCAGCUCACUGGACUGCAACUGAC
rnacentral:rRNA from 1 species